CACACACACACACACACACACACACACACACACACACACACACACACACACACACACACACACACACACACACACACACACACACAGAGUGGUUUUGUGACAGGAUGGGCCAGACAACAACAAACAAACGCACAACGCUGCAAAGGCCAAGAGAGGCCUUUGAACAGGGGGUGACUUCCUCUUCCUGUUGGCCACCGCUGACUUCCUGUGGCUCUUCUUUUGUUAUCAAAGCUCAUCGGGUCAAGGUGGACCACUUAUUAUUUCCUUCAAUUAUGUCCCAACUCAGUGCGAAACACAAGUCAGCAACUACCGCAGUUUCUACUGUGCUGGCACAGCGUUUGAUGGCCGGCCUUGGAGAAGCUUGGAGAAACGUACAAAGUACGUUUUACAUUCGGUUUCAAACAUUUUACAGACAUACAGCCGUGCACGAAUAAGUAAAUCAUCGGUAUCUGUUCAAUAACGUUAAUUCAUAAAGGUGGUAAAAUCUGUCGUAUCGUCCCUUAAUUUAAUUAGCCUCAUGAGCCAUGAUAAUAGGGAUGGCUUUAAAAAAGUUUAACAAUAAUUACAACUACAAGUCCCUUUGCUAGCUUGCUAGCGCAACCGACGCGCUACUAGUGCUAGUAAGAAAGCUAAGGCGUAGCAUAUCUCGGGCUCACACUAACACCCUACAGGCCCAGCUAGCCUAGCUUGGAAUAGGCUAACUCUCUUACCGACAUUCACCGCGGUUCUUCGGCCGUUCAAACCGCUCCAAUGAGCGGGUUCUUCUGUCUGGGAUCGGGCCUCCUGCCCUCGUCCCUGUAGUCAUACGGCUCCGCGCUAGCGUAGCGUUCCGUGCUAGCCGAGCGCCCGCGGCUACCGUGGCGCUCCUCGCGGCUAGCGUAGCGGUCUGGUUCCACGUAGCGCUCCGUGCUGGCCGAACGCUUGCGCUCGCGGUCGACGCGGGCGUAGCGGUCGUCGUGGGCGUAGCGCUCCGCUUCGCCGUAGCCGUCCCGCUCCUCGUAGCGGUCCGGGGCGGCGUAGCCCGGGGGCGGGUACCUCUCGGGGCUGGCGUCCCUGGAGGCGGAGCUCCGUAGCUCGCCCACGCUCUCGUAGUGGUGGCCGUCGCCCCCCCUGCUGGGCUGGUAGGGGGGCGCGUCCUGUCUGGGCUGGCGCCCGGGGCGGGGGGCCGUGUGAUGGUACUGCUGGGGGGCUUCGGGGUGGCGCCCCGCUGGGCCUGGAGGGCGGGAGGGGGUCGGAGUAGGGCAGAGGGUCCCGGGAUGGAGGACGCGAUUGGGUCGGGUAGUCAUAUGGGUCCCUCCUCC
ensembl:lncRNA